GACGAACCGAGCGAACGUUAUUCGGAAUCACUGGGCUUAAAGGGUGCGUAGGCGGCGCGGUAAGUCGGGUGUGAAAUCUCGGGGCUUAACUCCGAAACUGCAUUCGAUACUGCCGUGCUUGAGGACUGGAGAGGAGACUGGAAUUUACGGUGUAGCGGUGAAAUGCGUAGAUAUCGUAAGGAAGACCAGUGGCGAAGGCGGGUCUCUGGACAGUUCCUGACGCUGAGGCACGAAGGCCAGGGGAGCAAACGGG
rnacentral:rRNA from 1 species